rnacentral:rRNA from 1 species
GAUCCUAGCUCAGGACGAACGCUGGCGGCGUGCUUAACACAUGCAAGUCGAACGAGAAUCUGUGGAUCGAGGAUUCGUCCAAGUGAAGCAGAGGACAGUGGCGGACGGGUGAGUAACGCGUGAGGAACCUGCCUUUCGAGAGGGGGACAACAGUUGGAAACGACUGCUAAUACCGCAUGAUACAUUUGGGUGGCAUCAUCUGAAUGUCAAAGAUUUAUCGCUGAAAGAUGG